UUWAAGCUCGUAGUUGAAAUUGUGUCCUGCGGUGUCGGUCUACCGACUGCGGUACGACAGGCACGUCAGCGGGGCUUCUCGCCGGUGCGUCCAUCGCCGAGGUGCGUCGUCCGUUUCGCCUAAUAAGCGAGCGGGCGUUCGCGUCAUCGGCGGUCCGUCGCGGCUGUUUACUUUGAACAAAUUAGAGUGCUCAAAGCGGGCUAAUUAUUGCCUGAAUAUUGUACGCAUGGAAUAAUAGAAUAGGACCUCGGUUCUGUUUUGUUGGCUUUCUGAUACCAGAGGUAAUGAUUAAUAGGGACAACUGGGGGCAUUCGUAUUGCGACGUUAGAGGUGAAAUUCUUGGAUCGUCGCAAGACGGACUAAAGCGAAAGCAUUUGCCAAAGGUGUUUUCAUUAAUCAAGAACGAAAGUUAGAGGUUCGAAGGCGAUUAGAUACCGCUGUAGUUCUAACCAUAAAUGAUGCCAGCCAGCGAUCCGCCGAAGUUUCAUAAAUAUAACCCGGUGGGCAGCUCCCGGGAAACCAAAGCUUUC
rnacentral:rRNA from 1 species